rnacentral:tRNA from 1 species
AAUAGAAUGCCUGAUAAAAGGGUUAUUUUGAUAGAAUAAAACAUACAGAUUUUCUGUUUCUAUUA